rnacentral:rRNA from 1 species
UAGGGAAUCUUCCGCAAUGGACGCAAGUCUGACGGAGCAACGCCGCGUGAGUGAAGAAGGUUUUCGGAUCGUAAAACUCUGUUGUUAGAGAAGAACAAGCGCUAGAGUAACUGUUAGCGCCUUGACGGUAUCUAACCAGAAAGCCACGGCUAACUACGUGCCAGCAGCCGCGGUAAUACGUAGGUGGCAAGCGUUGUCCGGAUUUAUUGGGCGUAAAGCGAGCGCAGGCGGUUCCUUAAGUCUGAUGUGAAAGCCCCCGGCUCAACCGGGGAGGGUCAUUGGAAACUGGGGAACUUGAGUGCAGAAGAGGAGAGUGGAAUUCCAUGUGUAGCGGUGAAAUGCGUAGAUAUAUGGAGGAACACCAGUGGCGAAGGCGACUCUCUGGUCUGUAACUGACGCUGAGGCUCGAAAGCGUGGGUAGCAAACAGGAUUAGAUACCCUGGUAGUCCACGCCGUAAACGAUGAGUGCUAAGUGUUGGAGGGUUUCCGCCCUUCAGUGCUGCAGUUAACGCAUUAAGCACUCCGCCUGGGGAGUACGACCGCAAGGUUG